rnacentral:rRNA from 1 species
CCUACGGGAGACAGCAGUGAGGAAUAUUGGUCAAUGGCCGGAAGGCUGAACCAGCCAUGCCGCGUGAAGGUCAGUGCCCCAUGGGCGUUAAACUUCUUUUGUGCGGGAGCAAUAAUGGUCACGUGUGGCCAGACGAGAGUACCGUACGAAUAAGCAUCGGCUAACUCCGUGCCAGCUGCCGCGGUAAUACGGGGGAUGCAAGCGUUAUCCGGAUUUUUUGGGUUUAAAGGGUGCGUAGGCUGGGAGGUAAGUCAGCGGUGAAAUGCCCCGGCUCAACGGGGUGAAGUGCCAUUGAUAAUGCCUUGCUGGAGUGCGGAAGCGGUAGGAGGAAUGUGUGGUGUAGCGGUGAAAUGCAUAGAUAUCACACAGAACACCGAUUGCGAAGGCAUCUCACG